rnacentral:rRNA from 1 species
AUGUGGUUAAUUCGAAGCAACGCGAAGAACCUUACCAGGUCUUGACAUCCCUGACAACCCGAGAGAUCGGCGUCCCGUUCGGGGGCAGGGUGACAGGUGGUGCAUGGUUGUCGUCAGCUCGUGUCGUGAGAUGUUGGGUUAAGUCCCGCAACGAGCGCAACCCUCGACCUUAGUUGCCAGCAUUCAGUUGGGCACUCUAAGGUGACUGCCGGCUAAAAGUCGGAGGAAGGUGGGGAUGACGUCAAAUCAUCAUGCCCCUUAUGACCUGGGCUACACACGUGCUACAAUGGGCGGUACAAAGGGUCGCGAACCCGCGAGGGGGAGCCAAUCCCAAAAAGCCGCUCUCAGUUCGGAUUGCAGGCUGCAACUCGCCUGCAUGAAGCCGGAAUCGCUAGUAAUCGCGGAUCAGCAUGCCGCGGUCGAAUACGUUCCCGGGCCUU